AAAACGACUCUCGGCAACGGAUAUCUCGGCUCUCGCAUCGAUGAAGAACGUAGCGAAAUGCGAUACUUGGUGAAAUUGCAGAAUCCCGUGAACCAUCGAGUCUUUGAACGCAAGUUGCGCCCGAAGCCAUUAGGCCGAGGGCACGUCUGCCUGGGCGUCACGC
rnacentral:rRNA from 1 species